rnacentral:rRNA from 1 species
UACGUAGGGGGCGAGCGUUGUCCGAAUUUACUGGGCGUAAAGCGCGCGUAGGCGGACCUUUAAGUUGGGUGUGAAAUCUCAGGGCUCAACCCUGAAACUGCACCCAAAACUGGGGGUCUUGAGGUAUGGAGAGGGAAGUGGAAUUCCUGGUGUAGCGGUGAAAUGCGUAGAUAUCAGGAGGAACACCCGUGGCGAAGGCGGCUUCCUGGCCAUAAACUGACGCUGAGGUGCGAAAGCUAGGGGAGCGAACGGG